GACGAACGCUGGCGGCGUGCCUAAUACAUGCGAGUAGAACGCUGAAGGAGGAGCUUGCUCUUCUGGAUGAGUUGCGAACGGGUGAGUAACGCGUAGGUAACCUGCCUGGUAGCGGGGGAUAACUAUUGGAAACGAUAGCUAAUACCGCAUAACAGUAGAUGUUGCAUGACAUUUACUUAAAAGGUGCAAUUGCAUCACUACCAGAUGGACCUGCGUUGUAUUAGCUAGUUGGUGGGGUAACGGCUCACCAAGGCGACGAUACAUAGCCGACCUGAGAGGGUGAUCGGCCACACUGGGACUGAGACACGGCCCAGACUCCUACGGGAGGCAGCAGUAGGGAAUCUUCGGCAAUGGACGGAAGUCUGACCGAGCAACGCCGCGUGAGUGAAGAAGGUUUUCGGAUCGUAAAGCUCUGUUGUAAGAGAAGAACGAGUGUGAGAGUGGAAAGUUCACACUGUGACGGUAUCUUACCAGAAAGGGACGGCUAACUACGUG
rnacentral:rRNA from 1 species